CUUGUGUCUCCUUCUCUCCCUGUAACUCAGAGUUGACCGGUGAGAGAAAGACGUCAUAUUAAACGGACACUAGAGUCACCAGACCUACUACAGUUUAAAUUUGUGGUUCUGGUGUCUAUAGCCUGUCCCUGUAGGCUGAGCACUGUAAAUGCUACCUUUUCAGAGAAAAUGCAGUGUCUACAUUGCUGCCUAGGCACAUCUCUAGUGACA